GACGAACGCUGGCGGCGUGCCUAAUACAUGCAAGUCGAACGAACCGCGACUAGGUGCUUGCACUUGGUCAAGGUGAGUGGCGAACGGGUGAGUAACACGUGGGUAACCUACCUCAUAGUGGGGGAUAACAGUCGGAAACGACUGCUAAUACCGCAUAGGACAUGGGAUCACAUGAUUCUGUGAGGAAAGGUGGCGCAAGCUAUCGCUAAGAGAUGGACCCGCGGUGCAUUAGCUAGUUGGUAGGGUAACGGCCUACCAAGGCGAUGAUGCAUAGCCGACCUGAGAGGGUGAUCGGCCACAUUGGGACUGAGACACGGCCCAAACUCCUACGGGAGGCAGCAGUAGGGAAUCUUCCGCAAUGGACGCAAGUCUGACGGAGCAAUGCCGCGUGAGUGAAGAAGGUCUUCGGAUCGUAAAGCUCUGUUGUUAGAGAAGAACAGCGCAUAGAGUAACUGUUAUGCGUGUGACGGUAUCUAACCAGAAAGCCACGGCUAACUACGUG
rnacentral:rRNA from 1 species